GGGCGAUUGGCUCAGAGGUAGAGCACUGCCUUCACACGGCAGGGGUCAGUGGUUCGAUUCCACUAUCGCCCACCA
rnacentral:tRNA from 1 species